rnacentral:rRNA from 1 species
AUUGAACGCUGGCGGCAUGCUUUACACAUGCAAGUCGAACGGCAGCGAGGAGAAGCUUGCUUCUCUGUCGGCGAGUGGCGAACGGGUGAGUAUAGCAUCGGAACGUGCCAAGUAGUGGGGGAUAACCAAACGAAAGUUUGGCUAAUACCGCGUAAGCUCUAAGGAGGAAAGUAGGGGACCUAAAUAAGGCCUUACGCUAUUUGAUCGGCCGAUGUCGGAUUAGCUAGUUGGUGGGGUAAUGGCUUACCAAGGCAAUGAUCCGUAGCGGGUCUGAGAGGACGAUCCGCCACACUGGGACUGAGACACGGCCCAGACUCCUACGGGAGGCAGCAGUGGGGAAUUUUGGACAAUGGGGGAAACCCUGAUCCAGCCAUGCCGCGUGUAUGAAGAAGGCCUUAGGGUUGUAAAGUACUUUUGUUAGGGAAGAAAAGCUAGUUUAUAAUAAAAAUUAGUGAUGACGGUACCUAAAGAAUAAGCACCGGCUAACUACGUG